ACUCAAAUGAAUAGACGGGGGCCCGCACAAGCAGCGGAGCAUGUGGUUUAAUUCGACGCGACGCGAAGAACCUUACCUGGGCUUGACAUGUGAGUGACCGGUGUGGAAACACAUCUUCCUUUCGGGGCACUCUCACAGGUGGUGCAUGGCUGUCGUCAGCUCGUGUCGUGAGAUGUUGGGUUAAGUCCCGCAACGAGCGCAACCCCCGUCGCAUGUUGCCAGCAUUCAGUUGGGGACUCAUGCGAGACUGCCGGUGACAAACCGGAGGAAGGUGGGGAUGACGUCAAGUCCUCAUGCCCCUUAUGUUCAGGGCUACACACGUGCUACAUUGGCGCGUACAGAGGGUUGCGAUACCGCGAGGUGGAGCGAAUCCCUUAAAGCGCGUCUCGGUUCGGAUUGCAGGCUGAAAUUCGCCUGCAUGAAGGCGGAGUUGCUAGUAAUCGCGGAUCAGCACUGCCGCGGUGAAUACGUUCCCGGGCCUUGCACACACCGCCCGU
rnacentral:rRNA from 1 species